ACUCCCAAAGCUAGGAUCCUAAUUUAGACUAUUGUUUG
rnacentral:tRNA from 1 species